GAGACGCCGAUAUCCAUAUUAUCCAUUCCUUUUUUGUGCUCACCAAUGAAGCCAUUCCAUGUGGCAGAGAACGGCAAGACCACCAAGACUCUAAUGGCCGCAAGAGAAGUAGCAGACGACGACCGUGUGUGUGUGUGUGAAGGUCAUGGGGGCCGGACGAGGCCACGCAUGACGCCUACAGAGAGUCGUCCUCCUCCUCCCCAGGAGCUCCUCCCAUGGCUUGCUUCUCGGCUGGGAUUGCCUUCGCCGCUACCAGUCUCUCUCGCGCACCCGUCGUCUCUUCUUCCUUGAUGGGCAGCAGGACUCCCAUGUCCACUGCGACCGCCUCAGCCACCCGUCUGCUCAUCUUGAGCUGUGAAAAGAGAGACUUCUAGUGGCCUCUAGUCCUGCAACUCCGUUCCUCUUCUCUCUUCUCCCUUUGUUUCUUAUGGUUGUUGAGUUCAGUUGCAAUGCUGAGAACAUAGAUGUGUCCAAGGCACUUGAUGAAAUGUGUCAAAGAGAACAAACUCUCUUCGAAUACGGUUAGCCAUUCCGUAGAGAACAAUACAGAUCGAGCUAUCUAAAUGAUAGUAAGAAUUGUGGAGCAGUAUCACAUUACUUUGCUAGAUCUGUUGUGAUACAGAGGAAUUAAUCUGUUUGGUUAUAGCAUGGCAGAUUGUCAAUUUGAAGUCUGAGAAUAGGAUCAAACCAGAAUACUUCUUCCCCAACUCUGUUAGCUAUGUUUUAGUUCUUAGCCAAUUGAAACAGUGAAAGUUGUAAGUAAACGACAAUUAGUCUCUUCAUCUGGAAUAAAUAACAUCUGAGAGGAGGAUCGCCAUACCAUCCUCUUCCUGACUCGUAGAUCUACUUGCAGUUACUACCUAGCAUUUUCCGACAUUCCACAGGAAUAUAGUACAGAGUUGAUGAUUUCAGUAUGUGUUGUUUCACUGCCAGGCAGCUAGGCUUUUGGGUCCUCCGUCGAAAUUUGAAGCCUUAAAGCUCAAAGUAGUUUUCAUGGGGGAAGAAAUGGAGAAGUAGAUUCCGAGCACCACUCCAAGAGCUUACACUCUCACACACUGUGACUUCACAGCUAAUCUAACCUUAGCUGUCUCCAAUGGUAUGCAUAGUCAAAAGGUAUGAUCAAUUGAUCAGUAAUUUCAUUUAGAUCCUACACUCUGGAAUUUCAAUAACCUGCAUAUUGUGACAUAAUUUGCAGUUAAAAGAUAUUGAUAUUUGGAAUAAUUUAUAGGUUUGUUCCUGAGUUUUAUAAUGUGAAGGACAAGGGAUGCAUAACAUUGCUUGCUAUAUGGAAUCUUUGGACAAACACAGUCACAUUUGCAAAUGUUAUGGAUUUUGCUAAGCAAAUUCUAUAUGAUCAUUUACCUGUUUAUUGCUCUUAAUUAUCUUUAAGUAAUAUGCAAGUCUCUAAAAUGUCAUAAAAUUUGUUCAAGUGUUUACAUGUGAUACUGUUUUCUUCUCUGAGAUGAAGAAAUAUUGCAAGAUAAUCAUUUUUCUGAUAGCUAUUUGAUGCCUUGCAUUACACUAACGACCGAUGGAAGCUUUCAUCAAAUAUCACGGUUGGACUGGCAAACCACAUUACAUAGGGAUGAUGUUGUGGCAGAGUGGAAGGAGAUUAAAGAGGAAAUGUCUUUGCAUGUACAUUGCUAUGUAAGUGGGUCUGACAUCCUCCAAGAUCUGGUUGCUGGAUUCCGAUACCAUAGCUUCUCUAAAGAGCUACCAGUGGUUUUAAAAGCUGUAGUACAUCUGUACAUGGAGAUUCUCUCUUAUUUAGGAAGCACCCUGAGCUGCUGGAAACUAAGGUAUGGGCGUACUUCCAUUCAAGAUUGAAGAAGUACAAUCGAGUAGAAUGCUGGGGUCCUUUUAAAGAUGCUACACAGAGAACACUCGAUGAUGGAUAUGAUACUUUUCAAACUUCGGUGUUCAUUAGCAUUGGGAAAACAAUCUUACAUUCGCUAGUUGCCUUCCUCCUCUUAGACAGCAGCUAUUGCUUCAAAGAAGUCCUCUUCCAGGCUAUAUGAUUUUUAUGAUCUUAUCAUUGAUUCCAUUCAUUCUUCUUCAGACGGACAAGCAAGUGAAGAACGACAGCCUUGCAUGUAAAUGCAGUCAUUGGUUCAUGGAUGAGUUCAACCCAUGACCAUUUAUGUUUUGAUUGUUUCACUUCACUGAAUUAUUGUUAUUCCUGGUUGAUGAGUUCAACCCAUGAACCAUGCAAAUUGUACCAUGAUACACAAAAAGCAAUUUCUUGAGAUU